rnacentral:misc_RNA from 1 species
GAGAAGAGGGAGAAGGACCAGAGAGAGAGAGAAAGUGGAAAACGUUCCAAAAAAAAAAACAACGCACAGAACAGAGACACAAGAACACAUUAACAAAACGGUAGAUGUUUCAAAAAUAAGAAAGAAUCCGAAGGGAAGAAAGGAAUCCCUAGCGACAAGGCUUUUUUCAUUUGGCCAUGGAUCAAUCAAUAUCUUUCUAUUGAUUAUCGAAUCACUCUUCUGCCCCGCACUAACCGGAGAGAUUGAAUUGAUCCAACUCAAAUGGCCAGUAAACCUUUGCCUGAUCAGAAUCUUCCAUACCUGCAAUCCCUCGCUAGGGUUUCAAGUGCGACAUAACGUUAAGAACGAAGAACGAAUCUAUUUGUUGCAGGUUUUUGUUCUUUAAUUGUUAUUUUGUUUGAAUCGUGCGGGCUGUGUGAAUAGAACUCUACGCCCAUGGCGCCGGCUAAAGGAUGUGUGUUGGUGUUGGACAAAGUCAGAAGAUGUGUUCGCACGGUGAUUUUCAUGGUGGCGAUGGUGGCGUCGCUGCUGGUGUCGUCUAUGCCGGUGCUGGUGGCGAUCGGGGAUGUUUUGGUGCCGUGCGUGUUGGUUUCCAGUUUUACUUGUUUGAGUUGCUAUGGAUUUAAGGAGCAUUUGCAUAGAUACGCCUUCAAGAGCUCCUUGACAGAUAUUCCUCUUGUUUCCGUUGUCAGAUCUCUUAUCAUCAUCUGUGUUUAUUUGAUGUGUGAUGCCCCUGCUCUCUCACAUGGUCCCUAUCUUGGAACUGUGACACUCUGUUCUGUUGUUUCAGUUCUUCUUCUUUCAGUUAAGGCUUGUGUUUUCACUGUGAAUUCUCAAAUUGAGGCUGAAGCUUCGACUUCCCUUUCAAGGCAAAAGCUCCAUUUGAAGAAGUCAUGGGGAAUGCCUGUCUUAUUUCUGUCAUCAGUGGUUUUCGCACUUGGCCACACUGUGGUUGCUUACAGAACAAGCUGCAGAGCGCGGAGAAAGCUUUUGUUUCACCGAGUUGAUCCAGAAGCUGUGCUAUCUUGCAAAAGUGUUUUCUCUGGUUAUCAGAAGGUGCCUCGGUCUCCCACUCCAACUGCAGGAAGAACCCCAAAAAGUGACAGUGAAAUGAGGCGAAAACCAUUUGGAUCUGUUCAUGAUGAAGGGGAACUCCCAAUCAGAUUGCUCGCUGACAUAGAUAGCUUAUUCAUUACGUGCCAAGGGCUUACUGUACACUACAAGCUCUGUCUGCCUGGUUCCCCCCCUCGUUCUUUAUCUUCCACUGCUUUUCUUGAACCUUCUCCUAGCUGUAGCUCACCAAAGAUGACAGGAGGACGGCUUAAACUUGAGAGGCAGCCAUUCAAUGCAUUAUUGAAAACCCAGCAUAAUCUCCAUAGGAGUUACAGCAAUCAAUUUCACAGCUCUUCCUUAUAUGCUCCAUUAUUGGACGUUUCUCCAACUUCUGCUGUGCUCUCCGAAGAAAUUCCUGUUUUGAACCUAGAUGAUGCGAUUGAGGAGAAUGAAAUAAGCAAAGGAAACUAUGGAUCUCCUGAGCAAGAUAUGGAGGAAAAUGGCCAGUUUGGUAUCGUUCUAAUUCAUGGCUUUGGGGGAGGUGUCUUCUCAUGGAGGCAUGUGAUGGGGGUUCUCGGUCGGCAGGUUGGUUGCACAGUUGCCGCUUUUGAUCGGCCUGGUUGGGGAUUAACUUCUCGGCCUCGUCGGAAGGAUUGGGAAGAUAAAGAAUUGCCAAAUCCAUAUAAGCUUGAAACUCAGGUUGACCUGCUUCUUGCUUUCUGUUCUGAGAUGGGGUUUUCUUCAGUGGUGCUUGUUGGUCAUGAUGAUGGAGGCUUGCUUGCUCUGAUGGCUGCACAAAGACUUCAAACAUCCAUGAAUUCUUUCAAUGUUACAAUAAAGGCAUUGGUAUUGCUAAAUGUCAGUUUGUCAAGAGAAGUGGUUCCUGCCUUUGCUAGGAUACUCUUGCGUACUUCACUUGGGAAGAAGCACCUGGUUCGCCCCCUACUUCGAACAGAAAUUGUUCAAGUGGUGAACAGGCGUGCAUGGUAUGAUUCUGCCAAGCUAACAGCAGAGACUUUAAGCCUCUAUAAGGCCCCUCUAUAUGUGGAAGGUUGGGAUGAAGCACUCCACGAAAUAGGCAAACUUUCAUGUGAGACUGUCCUCUCACCGCAGAUUUAUGCAUCAUUGCUGAAGGCAGUAGAAGACAUGCCGAUAUUAGUCAUUGCUGGUGCUGAAGAUGCCCUUGUCCCUCUCAAGUCCUCCCAAGUCAUGGCUUCAAAACUUGUAAAUUCUGUAAGUGUCUUUCUUCUCCAUUUCACAGCUUCCAACAUUGUUGGAGUCUUUAUGUUGGAUCAAAGAAUCAUACAUUUACCAAGACCACAGAAGUUAAAAUCUCGUGGCUUCUUAGUGCUAAUCGCAUGAAAUCAAGAUCAACAAUUUCCAUUGAAAAUGUCUUACUGGGAUACUAACUGGUUUUCAAGUGGCACUGCUAAAAUUUAAUUAAUUCUAGGAAAAGUUCUAAAUGGAAGAAUAUCACUUAAUUGAUUAUUGCUUUUCCUUUUAUUUUUUCCUACUCAGAGACUGGUUGCCAUAUCAGGAUGUGGCCAUCUUCCACAUGAGGAGUGCCCCAAGGCAUUACUUGCAGCUAUGUCGCCCUUCAUAAGCAGACUAUUGUUGAGAUCAGAUUUGGAAAACCAAUAGGAUACCUCUUUUUAACUUAUCAAUAGGCUUUUAUCUGUUGUAGGCGUUUUUCUUGCUUCUCUUUUUUCUACGCCUUACCUUUCCUCCCCUGCUCCCUUCCCUUCUCUUUUUUCUUGUUCUUGUUUUUGUUUUUUCCCAAGCAAUUUACCCUUAGUGGGAGACAAAUACUGUCUCUCCUCUGGGGUAUUUUUGGUGUUCUAUUCUCAAGCCUUUGUCCAAGCCCUGAUUCCCUAGAGUUUUAUAUAAGCUUCUCAUAUGUAUUUUUAAAAAUGUUCUUUAAAUUUUCCUCUUGAAGAUCCAAGUAAUUGAAAGCUUGCUGUUUCCCGCUUAAAAGCAGUGGGAAAUGGUUCAUAUUUUGUACAUUCAUCUGAUUGAAAUGCAUGCAUUCGAGAAUGGUGUGUUCCAGAAUUCUUUCAAACUUUUCUUGCCUCUCCUAUGUAAAUAGAUGCUC